UUCAAGGGGAGUCAGGUUUUAAAGCUGACUAGGUGAACAAAGCAGAGUCCCACAGCCUCCCUGGAACCUGAAUGCGUGCAAAACUUGUUUUGAAGUGGAAGGCUGUAGAGAAAGGGGAAAGAGGCCAGAUUAGUAUCACUCCACUGAGUCCAGCAGAGAAGAGCAGAAGAGGAUAGUGCUGUACUCUGUGACCUGUAUUUUCAAUGUCCUUUUAUUUAUUAACAACCUGCCAAAAAUAAACUCUCAACCAGGUUUGCUGCAGAGCGGUAGCAUGGCCCUUGAAGUCCACCUGACUUUAUGAUGCACCAGAACAGCAUUCACAAUACAAUCAUACACCCUCUCCUCAGGACAGGAGGUGGACAGGUGGAACAACUAUUUUGCACCUAUGGGAAGAGGGAAACAAACACUGUCUUCUCCAGCAGCUCUGAAGAUGUCCAUCUACAUCCAAUGACUCAUAGAUUUUCCCUUGGCAGAGAAAAAUCUUGUCAAGCUGGUCCCUAGAAGAACGAAGUGAAGAAAUCAGAGCGAAGAAGAAACCAAGACCACCAGAUAGACCUGAUCCCACUUUUUAAAACCACUCUGUACCCUUGACAAGCUGCUCUCUGCUACAGAAGAUGUGCCAAGAGCCUGGUGACUGGUACGAGUGACCUUCCUAAGGAUUAGCCAGAGAUAUGUGACUGCCAGUGAAUAAUUCUAUUCAUUUAUUAUCUGUGAUGAACAGUAAAUCAUUCUAGUAAGAUACUUUUCCAUUCAUUCAUUGCUUGAGAACGAUUAAGAACAAAUAGCCCUUAAAAGCUUUUCCAGUGGAGCUAAGCAAAAUGUACACAGGGAGAGCCAAAAACUUUGUCCCAUUCACUUGUGGUUAAAUCAUAUCAAUAGAGUUGGACAAACAAAUAAUGGUGUGAGCACACAUAGAUGCCCCUUCAUCUUCACCCUUAUAUUUUCUGGUCUCCUGACCAUCUGUGCUCAUGCUACUAUUCUAGAAAACAUUUACCCAAACAGUAUUUUGAUCUGAUGAAGCAACAACACGGUUUUGAUAAGCACAGUUUCAGUGUAAACUAACAUACCUAUGGAUAAAAUAGAGCACUUACGUUACCCAGAUGGUUAACUAGUGAAUGUCAGUGCUAGGAUUACUUCUAAAUCUAUCCACGGCUGUAAAAAGCAGUGACUUAGGAAAGGCAGCAGGCAGCUGGAGAGGCUUUUUCCAUUCACCCACACCAUGCCAAAGUUAGGAAGAAAGAUAUCAAGGAUCUGAAUCAAGGUGUGAAUCAACAUCCCAUGUCAUGCUCCUCACUUCUCCUGCCAAUACAUACGAGAUAUUCCCAUGUCAUGGUGUGGCAUGAACACACCACAUUACAAAAACAUAGCUAAACCAGCUGCAAUUUGGCAGAGAAUCAAAGACCAAUGUAUCUCCAGGACUGCUGCACCAUUUCCUACAUGUAUGAGUCCCCUUCACAGGCUAAGAGAACCUAUGAUUUGGCUGCAGAAAAGGUGACUCUCCCAUUAAGGAAGUGUGAUGGCCCAGCAGCUAUCCCACAACAAGUAACUCAGCAGAUUUCAUCCUUUAUCUUUUCUAUGGGCAAUCCUAUCUAGCAAACUUUUCCCAUUCAUCUCUACCAUGACUUCUAUAUCUUUUAGGUCCUGCUUACAGAUUUAUCCCAAAGCGACUCUUCCCUCUGUAGGCAUGUCUGACAUUCAAAUAAGGGCAAAUGAAUUUCUCUUUUCUACUCUGCUUCAAAGUCAACAGAGGUCAUGUGUAUAUGACAAAAGCAGGAAACCAGUGGGGCUAUUUGCUUGAAAUGAUAAUGCUGUAUUUCACAGUCCCUUUCUUCAGAAGCAAAAUUGUUGGCAUUUUGCUAAACAUCAUAUGACUCUUCAGUAGUGAGGACUGACUACAUCUCCACUUGGAUUAAACAAAAUAAUUAACUGUUACUGAGCACAAAGAGAAAGUCACAAGGUUGCAAAGAGUAAUGCAGCUACAUGGAAGAAGAGAAGCUCUCUUUAAGCUGAUGAUUGAACUACUCAUAUAGAUAGGGCACUGGCUUCAGCACUGUACCCUUUUCUGUCUAUUUGCAGCUGCUCUUGGCUUCUGAGAACUGGUAUGAAGCACGGACUCAAGAUGAGCUCAUGUUCAUACAAAGCUAACAAUUACCUUUGGUUUUGACUGCUGCAGAAGACUAUAGCUUCCUUCCCAAUCCACACUCAUAUUUUCCAACCCUCAAAAAUGCCAUGUGCUUAGGGAAAUAAAUAUACUAAGGAGUAGGUAGAACUCUCA
ensembl:lncRNA